rnacentral:piRNA from 1 species
UGGAAAAGUGAGUUCCUGUUUAGAUGACC